rnacentral:rRNA from 1 species
AUAUUGCACAAUGGGGGAAACUCUGAUGCAGCGACGCCGCGUGAUCGAAGAAGGCCUUCUGGUCGUAAAGCUCUGUCCUAAUGGAAGAAACGGUCGGUACCUUCGGAGGAAGCACCGUCUAAUUACGUUCUAGCAGCCGCGGUAAUACGUAGGGGGCGAGCGUUAUCCGGAAUUACUGGGCGUAAAGGGUGCGUAGGCGGCCUUUUAAGUCAGAUGUGAAAGGCUACGGCUUAACCGUAGUUAGCAUUUGAAACUAAAAGGCUUGAGUGCAGGAGAGGAGAGUGGAAUUCCUAGUGUAGCGGUGAAAUGCGUAGAUAUUAGGAGGAACACCAGUGGCGAAGGCGACUCUCUGGACUGCAACUGACGCUGAGGCACGAAAGCGUGGGGAGCGAACA